rnacentral:rRNA from 1 species
UACGUAGGGCGCAAGCGUUGUCCGGAAUUAUUGGGCGUAAAGAGCUCGUAGGCGGCUUGUCACGUCGGGUGUGAAAGCCCGGGGCUUAACCCCGGGUCUGCAUUCGAUACGGGCUAGCUAGAGUGUGGUAGGGGUGAUCGGAAUUCCUGGUGUAGCGGUGAAAUGCGCAGAUAUCAGGAGGAACACCGGUGGCGAAGGCGGGUCUCUGGGCCGAUACUGACGCUGAGGAGCGAAAGCGUGGGGAGCGAACAGG